GGAAAGUGGAUUAGACAUUAGGUUCAAUGCGGAUAGAGAGUUCAUGGAAUAGAAACUCGUUAAAGAGACUCAAAGGUAAAAUAGGAAUAAAUAGUGACAAGGAAAGAGAGGAGACAGAGAGAGAGGGAGACAGAGAGAGAGGGAGACAGAGAGAGAGAGACAGACAGACAGACACAAAGAGCUAGAGAGAGAGAGAGAGAGCGAGAGAGAGAGAGAGAGAGAGAGAGAGAGAGAGAGAAUGAGAAUGAAAUGGGAGAAAGGUCUGGGACAUGAGAGAAAGAUUUAAAUGGGAGACAUGAGAUGAAACAUGAGAGAGAGCGGGGAGACAAAAAUAUGAGAGAGAGGGAGAGAGAGACAGUGAGUGAGACAGACAGGAGAGAAGAGAAGAGAGUGGCUAUGUCUGAAGCAGGGCCUGAGAGAGGAGUGAGGGGGAAG